rnacentral:rRNA from 1 species
AUUGAACGCUGGCGGCAUGCUUUACACAUGCAAGUCGAACGGUAACAGGGUGCUUGCACCGCUGACGAGUGGCGAACGGGUGAGUAAUGCGUCGGAACGUGCCGAGUAGUGGGGGAUAACGCAGCGAAAGUUGUGCUAAUACCGCAUACGUACUGAGGUAGAAAGUGGGGGACCUUCGGGCCUCACGCUAUUCGAGCGGCCGACGUCUGAUUAGCUAGUAGGUGAGGUAAAGGCUCACCUAGGCGACGAUCAGUAGCGGGUCUGAGAGGAUGAUCCGCCACACUGGGACUGAGGCACGGCCCAGACUCCUACGGGAGGCAGCAGUGGGGAAUUUUGGACAAUGGGCGAAAGCCUGAUCCAGCCAUGCGGCGUGUCUGAAGAAGGCCUUCGGGUUGUAAAGGACUUUUGUCAGGGAGGAAAUCCCUAGUGCUAAUAACACUGGGGGAUGACAGUACCGGAAGAAUAAGCACCGGCUAACUACGUGCCAGCAGCCGCCGUAA